GCGAUCGUCAGCGCUAGACACGCGCCGUCCGUACGGACGACAUAGGCCAUCAGCCACGGAUAGUCCAUUUCGACGAAUAGUUUCUCUCGAUCGACGUGGAAACCGUCGAAAAGAAAGAUUUAGGAUAUUGUAGCCGUUCGCCGAUAAGGAGCGCCAUUUACGCCGAAGGAGAUCCGUUCUCUUAGAACGUUCAUAGAGCUCUGGGUCUUUUCGUUCUAUAAGAUUAAUAUAAAUCUAGAAAUUGUACAGCCCAACUUUAAGUCUAUCGCAGCUUCGUUCGAACGACGCUACUUCGUCCUGUACAAAUUUCGAUUCCUCCGAUGAAACGUGUAUUCACAGCAAAGUACUUUUUUCUGUAAUCUUAUUAUGGCUUGCGAAAGUGUUCGAAUAAUCUUGAUCGUUCCGAGGUGACGCGUAUCACACGAACAAUUGAAAACUCGGAAAAUACCGAAAGGUCGGAUGAUACCGGCGUUCGUACGGUAAAAUCGUAAAAUCGAUUUCGAUAACUUAACAUCGUACGUGCGUUUCAGUUUAGUUGACUAUUUGAUCGAUUAAAAGUUCAAUUAAUCUAUUUACUUUGUUCGCGCGGUGCCGGCGUUAAAA